GAUGAACGCUGGCGGCGUGCCUAAUACAUGCAAGUCGAGCGAACAGACGAGGAGCUUGCUCCUCUGACGUUAGCGGCGGACGGGUGAGUAACACGUGGAUAACCUACCUAUAAGACUGGGAUAACUUCGGGAAACCGGAGCUAAUACCGGAUAAUAUAUUUAACCGCAUGGUUCAAUAGUGAAAGACGGUUUUGCUGUCACUUAUAGAUGGAUCCGCGCCGCAUUAGCUAGUUGGUAAGGUAACGGCUUACCAAGGCAACGAUGCGUAGCCGACCUGAGAGGGUGAUAGGCCACACUGGAACUGAGACACGGUCCAGACUCCUACGGGAGGCAGAAGUAGGGAAUCUUCCGCAAUGGGCGAAAGCCUGACGGAGCAACGCCGCGUGAGUGAUGAAGGUCUUCGGAUCGUAAAACUCUGUUAUUAGGGAAGAACAAAUGUGUAAGUAACUAUGCACGUCUUGACGGUACCUAAUCAGAAAGCCACGGCUAACUACGUG
rnacentral:rRNA from 1 species